rnacentral:rRNA from 1 species
UACGUAGGCAGCAAGCGUUGUUCGGAUUUACUGGGCGUAAAGGGCGCGUAGGCGGCCAGCACAAGUCAGUUGUGAAAUCUCCGAGCUUAACUCGGAAAGGUCAACUGAUACUGUGCGGCUAGAGUGCGGAAGGGGCAACUGGAAUUCUUGGUGUAGCGGUGAAAUGCGUAGAUAUCAGGAGGAACACCGGUGGCGAAGGCGGGUCUCUGGGCCGAUACUGACGCUGAGGAGCGAAAGCGUGGGGAGCGAACAGG